UACGGGGGGGGCAAGCGUUGUUCGGAAUUACUGGGCGUAAAGAGCGUGUAGGCGGCCCGGUAAGUCCGCUGUGAAAGUCGGGGGCUCAACCCUCGAAUGCCGGUGGAUACUGUCGGGCUAGAGUGCGGAAGAGGCGAGUGGAAUUCCUGGUGUAGCGGUGAAAUGCGCAGAUAUCAGGAGGAACACCGAUUGCGAAGGCAGCUCGCUGGGACGUCACUGACGCUGAGACGCGAAAGCGUGGGGAGCAAACAGG
rnacentral:rRNA from 1 species